GUUCCAGUAGCCGGAUGGAGAAUGCGUUGGGCUUCCAAUCCAAAGGUCGUGGCUUCGAAUUCCACCUUGGACG